rnacentral:lncRNA from 1 species
AUAGGAAGCGAGGCGAGGGUCCUUCAUUAAAGGGGGGAAAAGAGGGGUGGGCUUUGUUCUGGGGGGGCCGCCUUGCGCAGCUUUAGAAAGGAGAGAAUGACUUUCUGAAAUUCUCUCCAACCCUUUCUAUCUAUCUUUAGAAGUAGGGCGAGAGAAAGUCAAUAUGAUAUUUGCGUUGGUUUUUCCAACGAAACUAAGCACUUUUCUUCUUUCUCAUUCGGAAGGCUCAGUCCCACACCCUGACUUCAAUGAUGGGAACAACCUCCGCACUCCGGCGCUCCACUGAACAACAGUUCUCCGCCUUACUAUAUUUAGAAUAGUGGUCGAUCCUUCGGGAGUUACAUUCGUAACAACAUGUAAUGUUAUGUUCACG